rnacentral:lncRNA from 1 species
AAAAUUUUCCCGCCAAUCAUUUUACCUUGUCAUUACGGCCCAACAUUUAUCUUGCAACAAGCAAAGGUUUAAGUCCUUUUUUAUUAUUUUUCUUGAGGUCCAGUAGUCAUCUUUCAGCCUCUUCCUCGCGAACCCUAGGCGCUUCUUCCGACAUCAAACUCUCGAAAUCAAUUGUCUAUCUCCUUCCUCCGGAAUAACGCAUGUAUCCUCAUCAA